CCAUUUUGGAUCUCUUCUGAAGGUUUUGCCACAGUCAUGCUGAGGCUGCGGACCGGUGCGGCUUGUUGGGAAGGAGCACCCACACCCCUCUUGAUGUGACCCAUGCUGGUCUGGAACUCACCACACAAACCAGGAUGACCUUCAACUCAGGAAGCUUUCCUGCGUCAGCCACCUCAGUGGUGGGAUCACAGGGGUGGAAAAAUCAUGCCAGACAAAGACCGUGCAUGAAGAUCGGGACUGAAGUACAUUUUAAUGUGACUGACAGAUCGAGAAACCUGGUCACCAGGAUCACAGAGUCUGGCAAGAUGGCUUCUCCCAAGAGUACACCAAAGAUGUGAUGAGCUCAGAUGACAGCACAGAUCCUAAAGGAGAUACAGAACAUGAGCCCAGAGCUGUAAUCACAUGUUGAAGUUUCCUUCCCAUUAUGUGACCACAUUUCUAGAGGAUACUAAAAUUUAUUCACACUGUGCUACGAGAGCUACUGUUGAUUCAGACAGCACGGGACCAUCAGACCCAGUGUCUCCCUGACUGCUCUUUCCUGUCUCCUCCCCCAAGAGAAUUAUUAGAUUUUGCAG